UUGAACGCUGGCGGCAUGCCUUACACAUGCAAGUCGAACGGCAAGCACGGGGAGCAAUCCUGGUGGCGAGUGGCGAACGGGUGAGUAAUAUAUCGGGAACGUGCCCAGUCGUGGGGGGAUAACGUAGCGAAAGCUACGCUAAUACCGCAUACGAUCUACGGAUGAAAGCGGGGGAUCGCAAGACCUCGCGCGAUUGGAGCGGCCGAUAUCAGAUUAGGUAGUUGGUGAGGUAAAGGCUCACCAAGCCGACGAUCUGUAGCUGGUCUGAGAGGACGACCAGCCACACUGGGACUGAGACACGGCCCAGACUCCUACGGGAGGCAGCAGUGGGGAAUUUUGGACAAUGGGCGCAAGCCUGAUCCAGCAAUGCCGCGUGCAGGAUGAAGGCCUUCGGGUUGUAAACUGCUUUUGUACGGAACGAAACGGUGAGCUCUAAUACAGUUUGCUAAUGACGGUACCGUAAGAAUAAGCACCGGCUAACUACGUG
rnacentral:rRNA from 1 species